GACAGAGGGGGCAAGCGUUGCUCGGAAUUACUGGGCGUAAAGGGCGCGUAGGCGGGAUGGCAAGUCGGUCGUGAAAUCCCUCGGCUCAACUGAGGUACGUCGAUCGAUACUGCCGUUCUUGAGUGUUGCAGAGGAGACUGGAAUUCCCGGUGUAGCGGUGAAAUGUGUAGAGAUCGGGAGGAACACCGGUGGCGAAGGCGGGUCUCUGGGCAACUCCUGACGCUGAGGCGCGAAAGCGUGGGGAGCAGACGGG
rnacentral:rRNA from 1 species